rnacentral:sRNA from 1 species
AGGGCGUGCCUUUUCAGGCAUCCUCUCCCAAGACUUUCAAGGCCCGGUCCUCGUGACCGGGCCUUUUUCUUUGCCCGG